GGAGAGGCCAUUUCCGAGGCUGGUCCACUGCCCAAUCCCACAUCCGGGGCUGCUGGGAGAAGAAAGAACAGCUGGGAAGAAAUCCUUUGCAGCAUAGAACAUUGCUACAGAGCUACAAGGAAUCCACAAACUUCUGCAGCUUGGAGCAGAGAACUGCAUGGCACUGGAAAAAGGGAGAAGUGAUCAAGAUGUGGGGUUGGAUUUUAUUGCAAACCUGCUAGCUGCUCAAUGGAUAGUGUGCCAGGAAUGGAGUUAGGAAGACAUCUUCCUGAGUCUAAAUUACAAGCUGUUUGACUUGGGGCAAGUCAUUUGCCUUAGUUUCUUCACCUGGAAAAUGAGCUGGGGUAGGAAAUGAUAAUCCCCUCCAAUAUAUUUGCUGAGAAAAAUCUCAAAUAAAGUCACAAAAGAAUCAAACA
rnacentral:lncRNA from 1 species